AUUGAACGCUGGCGGCAGGCCUAACACAUGCAAGUCGAGCGAGCGGCGGACGGGUGAGUAAUGUAUGGGGACUCCCCGAUAGGGAGGGAUAACUCCUGGAGACGGUAGCUCAUACCGCAUACUAUCUGAUUAUCCAUAUGGGAUUAGCUAGUAGGUGAGGUAAUGGCUCACCUAGGCGACGAUCCCUAGCUGGUCUGAGAGUAUGAUCAGCCACACUGGGACUGAGAAACGGCCCAGACUCCUACGGAGGCAGCAGUGGGGAAUAUUGCACAAUGGGCGCAAGCCUGAUGGAGCCAUGCCGCGUGUAUGAAGAAGGCCCUAGGGUUGUAAAGUACUUUCAGUCGGGAGGCGUUACCGACAGAAGAAGCACCGGCUAACUCCGUGCCAGCAGCCGCGGUAAUAC
rnacentral:rRNA from 1 species